rnacentral:rRNA from 1 species
UACGGAGGGGGCUAGCGUUGUUCGGAAUUACUGGGCGUAAAGCGCACGUAGGCGGCUUGGUAAGUUAGAGGUGAAAGCCUGGAGCUCAACUCCAGAAUUGCCUUUAAGACUGCCGAGCUAGCAGGUGAGAGAGGUGAGUGGAAUUCCGAGUGUAGAGGUGAAAUUCGUAGAUAUUCGGAAGAACACCAGUGGCGAAGGCGGCUCACUGGACGACUGUUGACGCUGAGGUACGAAAGCGUGGGGAGCAAACAGG